rnacentral:rRNA from 1 species
UUAUUGGGCGUAAAGCCGAGCGCAGGCGGUUUUUUAAGUCUGAUGUGAAAGCCUUCGGCUCAACCGAAGAAGUGCAUCGGAAACUGGGAAACUUGAGUGCAGAAGAGGACAGUGGAACUCCAUGUGUAGCGGUGAAAUGCGUAGACAUAUGGAAGAACACCAGUGGCGAAGGCGGCUGUCUGGUCUGUAACUGACGCUGA